UGCCUACGGGACGCAGCAGUGGGGAAUAUUGCACAAUGGGGGAAACCCUGAUGCAGCAACGCCGCGUGAGUGAAGAAGUAUUUCGGUAUGUAAAGCUCUAUCAGCAGGGAAGAAGAAAGACGGUACCUGACUAAGAAGCCCCGGCUAACUACGUGCCAGCAGCCGCGGUAAUACGUAGGGGGCAAGCGUUAUCCGGAUUUACUGGGUGUAAGGGGAGCGUAGGCGGCUGUGUAAGCCAGAAGUGAAAGCCCGAGGCUCAACCACGGGACUGCUUUUGGAACUACAUGGCUCGAUUGCAGGAGAGG
rnacentral:rRNA from 1 species